rnacentral:rRNA from 1 species
CAAGUCGAACGGAACUCUUCGGAGUUCAGUGGCGGACGGGUGAGUAACGCGUGAGAAUCUGCCAAAAGGACUGGGAUAACAGGAGGAAACUCCUGCUAAUACCGGAUGUGCCGCAACGUGAAAGGAGAAAUCCGCCUUUUGAAGAGCUCGCGUCUGAUUAGCUAGUUGGUGAGGUAAAAGCUCACCAAGGCGACGAUCAGUAGCUGGUCUGAGAGGAUGACCAGCCACACUGGGACUGAGACACGGCCCAGACUCCUACGGGAGGCAGCAGUGGGGAAUUUUCCGCAAUGGGCGAAAGCCUGACGGAGCAAGACCGCGUGGGGGAGGAAGGCUCUUGGGUUGUAAACCCCUUUUCUCAGGGAAGAAGAUCUGACGGUACCUGAGGAAUCAGCCUCGGCUAACUCCGUGCCAGCAGCCGCGGUAAUACGGAGGAGGCAAGCGUUAUCCGGAAUUAUUGGGCGUAAAGCGUCCGCAGGUGGCUCGUCAAGUCUGCGGUCAAAAACCGAGGCUUAACUUCGGCAAGGCCGUGGAAACUGAAGAGCUAGAGAGCCGUAGGGGUAGAGGGAAUUCCCGGUGUAGCGGUGAAAUGCGUAGAGAUCGGGAAGAACAUCGGUGGCGAAAGCGCUCUACUGGACGGUGUCUGACACUCAGGGACGAAAGCUAGGGGAGCGAAUGGGAUUAGAUACCCCAGUAGUCCUAGCUGUAAACGAUGGAUACUAGAUGUUGUCCGUAUCGACCCGGACAGUGUCGUAGCUAACGCGUUAAGUAUCCCGCCUGGGGAGUACGCACGCAAGUGUGAAACUCAAAGGAAUUGACGGGGGCCCGCACAAGCGGUGGA